GGGUUGUGAGGUUAAGCGACUAAGCGUACACGGUGGAUGCCCUGGCAGUCAGAGGCGAUGAAGGACGUGCUAAUCUGCGAUAAGCGUCGGUAAGGUGAUAUGAACCGUUAUAACCGGCGAUUUCCGAAUGGGGAAACCCAGUGUGUUUCGACACACUAUCAUUAACUGAAUCCAUAGGUUAAUGAGGCGAACCGGGGGAACUGAAACAUCUAAGUACCCCGAGGAAAAGAAAUCAACCGAGAUUCCCCCAGUAGCGGCGAGCGAACGGGGAGGAGCCCAGAGCCUGAAUCAGUGUGUGUGUUAGUGGAAGCGUCUGGAAAGGCGCGCGAUACAGGGUGACAGCCCCGUACACAAAAAUGCACAUGCUGUGAGCUCGAUGAGUAGGGCGGGACACGUGGUAUCCUGUCUGAAUAUGGGGGGACCAUCCUCCAAGGCUAAAUACUCCUGACUGACCGAUAGUGAACCAGUACCGUGAGGGAAAGGCGAAAAGAACCCCGGCGAGGGGAGUGAAAAAGAACCUGAAACCGUGUACGUACAAGCAGUGGGAGCACGCUUCGGCGUGUGACUGCGUACCUUUUGUAUAAUGGGUCAGCGACUUAUAUUCUGUAGCAAGGUUAACCGAAUAGGGGAGCCGAAGGGAAACCGAGUCUUAACUGGGCGUUAAGUUGCAGGGUAUAGACCCGAAACCCGGUGAUCUAGCCAUGGGCAGGUUGAAGGUUGGGUAACACUAACUGGAGGACCGAACCGACUAAUGUUGAAAAAUUAGCGGAUGACUUGUGGCUGGGGGUGAAAGGCCAAUCAAACCGGGAGAUAGCUGGUUCUCCCCGAAAGCUAUUUAGGUAGCGCCUCGUGAAUUCAUCUCCGGGGGUAGAGCACUGUUUCGGCAAGGGGGUCAUCCCGACUUACCAACCCGAUGCAAACUGCGAAUACCGGAGAAUGUUAUCACGGGAGACACACGGCGGGUGCUAACGUCCGUCGUGAAGAGGGAAACAACCCAGACCGCCAGCUAAGGUCCCAAAGUCAUGGUUAAGUGGGAAACGAUGUGGGAAGGCCCAGACAGCCAGGAUGUUGGCUUAGAAGCAGCCAUCAUUUAAAGAAAGCGUAAUAGCUCACUGGUCGAGUCGGCCUGCGCGGAAGAUGUAACGGGGCUAAACCAUGCACCGAAGCUGCGGCAGCGACGCUUAUGCGUUGUUGGGUAGGGGAGCGUUCUGUAAGCCUGUGAAGGUGUGCUGUGAGGCAUGCUGGAGGUAUCAGAAGUGCGAAUGCUGACAUAAGUAACGAUAAAGCGGGUGAAAAGCCCGCUCGCCGGAAGACCAAGGGUUCCUGUCCAACGUUAAUCGGGGCAGGGUGAGUCGACCCCUAAGGCGAGGCCGAAAGGCGUAGUCGAUGGGAAACAGGUUAAUAUUCCUGUACUUGGUGUUACUGCGAAGGGGGGACGGAGAAGGCUAUGUUGGCCGGGCGACGGUUGUCCCGGUUUAAGCGUGUAGGCUGGUUUUCCAGGCAAAUCCGGAAAAUCAAGGCUGAGGCGUGAUGACGAGGCACUACGGUGCUGAAGCAACAAAUGCCCUGCUUCCAGGAAAAGCCUCUAAGCAUCAGGUAACAUCAAAUCGUACCCCAAACCGACACAGGUGGUCAGGUAGAGAAUACCAAGGCGCUUGAGAGAACUCGGGUGAAGGAACUAGGCAAAAUGGUGCCGUAACUUCGGGAGAAGGCACGCUGAUAUGUAGGUGAAGUCCCUUGCGGAUGGAGCUGAAAUCAGUCGAAGAUACCAGCUGGCUGCAACUGUUUAUUAAAAACACAGCACUGUGCAAACACGAAAGUGGACGUAUACGGUGUGACGCCUGCCCGGUGCCGGAAGGUUAAUUGAUGGGGUCAGCGCAAGCGAAGCUCUUGAUCGAAGCCCCGGUAAACGGCGGCCGUAACUAUAACGGUCCUAAGGUAGCGAAAUUCCUUGUCGGGUAAGUUCCGACCUGCACGAAUGGCGUAAUGAUGGCCAGGCUGUCUCCACCCGAGACUCAGUGAAAUUGAACUCGCUGUGAAGAUGCAGUGUACCCGCGGCAAGACGGAAAGACCCCGUGAACCUUUACUAUAGCUUGACACUGAACAUUGAGCCUUGAUGUGUAGGAUAGGUGGGAGGCUUUGAAGUGUGGACGCCAGUCUGCAUGGAGCCGACCUUGAAAUACCACCCUUUAAUGUUUGAUGUUCUAACGUUGACCCGUAAUCCGGGUUGCGGACAGUGUCUGGUGGGUAGUUUGACUGGGGCGGUCUCCUCCUAAAGAGUAACGGAGGAGCACGAAGGUUGGCUAAUCCUGGUCGGACAUCAGGAGGUUAGUGCAAUGGCAUAAGCCAGCUUGACUGCGAGCGUGACGGCGCGAGCAGGUGCGAAAGCAGGUCAUAGUGAUCCGGUGGUUCUGAAUGGAAGGGCCAUCGCUCAACGGAUAAAAGGUACUCCGGGGAUAACAGGCUGAUACCGCCCAAGAGUUCAUAUCGACGGCGGUGUUUGGCACCUCGAUGUCGGCUCAUCACAUCCUGGGGCUGAAGUAGGUCCCAAGGGUAUGGCUGUUCGCCAUUUAAAGUGGUACGCGAGCUGGGUUUAGAACGUCGUGAGACAGUUCGGUCCCUAUCUGCCGUGGGCGCUGGAGAACUGAGGGGGGCUGCUCCUAGUACGAGAGGACCGGAGUGGACGCAUCACUGGUGUUCGGGUUGUCAUGCCAAUGGCACUGCCCGGUAGCUAAAUGCGGAAGAGAUAAGUGCUGAAAGCAUCUAAGCACGAAACUUGCCCCGAGAUGAGUUCUCCCUGACCCUUUAAGGGUCCUGAAGGAACGUUGAAGACGACGACGUUGAUAGGCCGGGUGUGUAAGCGCAGCGAUGCGUUGAGCUAACCGGUACUAAUGAACCGUGAGGCUUAACCUUACAACGCCGAAGCUGUU
rnacentral:rRNA from 1 species